rnacentral:lncRNA from 1 species
CAGAGUACUGAACCGAGACUGGAUCGAGUUCAUUUACGCUUUGCCUUCAUUUCGAAUUCGAGUUGUUCGAUCAAUAGGAGCAGGUAAGCGCUAGUCUUUUGGAUGCGGGAUUUAUUAGUAUCUACCACAUCUUUUUCCAAAACAUUAGCUUGAUUUGGCUUUGCCAUGAACUCUUUUGGCAAAGUCAAAACCAUCUUGCAGUCCACCUUCUGUGGUAGUCCGAAAAACUGGCUUUUGUGCUUCUAUUUACCAUACUCUGCUUUGAUCUUGAUUGCAAGACUGACUCUCCUUCGAGUCUUCCUCCAUAGGAUCAUCCUCCAACAAGGCAAAGUACUCGAAGAACUCAUCAGAAACAUCUGCUGAUGAGCUUUCUCGGGCUUCUUGUGGUCACUCUUCCCAUUCUUCUCCUCGGCAGGGUACACAACACUUAGGUUUUUUCCUCUUAUCAGUCUCGGCUUGAAGCUUCCUCUUUACAGAAGCCCUUUUCC